CCAGACUCCUACGGGAGGCAGCAGUGGGGAAUAUUGCACAAUGGGGGAAACCCUGAUGCAGCGACGCCGCGUGAGUGAAGAAGUAAUUCGUUACGUAAAGCUCUAUCAGCAGGGAAGAAACACUGACCUUACGGUCAGCAGACGGUACCUGAGUAAGAAGCCCCGGCUAACUACGUGCCAGCAGCCGCGGUAAUACGUAGGGGGCAAGCGUUAUCCGGAUUUACUGGGUGUAAAGGGAGCGUAGACGGUGCAGCAAGUCUGAUGUGAAAGGUCGGGGCCCAACCCCGGGACUGCAUUGGAAACUGUUGAACUGGAGUACAGGAGAGGUAAGCGGAAUUCCUAGUGUAGCGGUGAAAUGCGUAGAUAUUAGGAGGAACACCAGUGGCGAAGGCGGCUUACUGGACUGUAACUGACGUUGAGGCUCGAAAGCGUGGGGAGCAAACAGGAUUAGAUACCCCGGUACU
rnacentral:rRNA from 1 species